rnacentral:rRNA from 1 species
GCAGGCUGCAACUCGCCUGCAUGAAGCUGGAAUUGCUAGUAAUCGCGGAUCAGCAAGCCGCGGUGAAUACGUUCCCGGGCCUUGUACACACCGCCCGUCAUACCAUGGGAGUCGGGAAUGCCCGAAGCCGGUGACCCAACCGAAAGGAGGGAGCCGUCGAAGGCAGGUCUGAUAACUGGGGUGAAGUCGUAACAAGGUACC